UGCCUCAGACAAGGACAAACUGAAGGACUCCCGCUGAUCACAGGCUUGACAAUUGUAUAACAGGGGAUUCCUGUUUUCAGCCAAGUAAAUAUCACUUCAUCUAUUUCCUGAGAAUUGUCCUAAUGGGAAGAUUUAUGUUUUACUUUUUAAGUACUAGUCAAGAUGAUUUGAAAUGGGAUGUGGAUUCCAAUGGAGAUGCAGCUGAGCCUACCGGGGACAAAUGGACUUUGUGAGCAAAAAACGUGUGUUUUAUGAUUAAAGAAUAACAACAGAGAACUGGGAGGCCUGUGGGCUCCUUCUACAACAAUGCUCAAAUGUCAUGAAUGAGGAAGAAUUCUAACGCCACAUGAAAUGAUGUGUAGUACCGAUCAGUUUCAUAUCGUUCUUGGCUUUCUAUCUUUGACAGGUGGAGAAGAAACACUGUCUCGAGAAAGGAGGCUAUUUCUAAAACCAAGCUGCCACUUCUUUGAUCUUAAUGUUUCCCCCAUAUGCCAUCAUUGAUACAGCUUUUCACAGACCACUGAGCAUCCUGGAUAAUAAUUGCUGCUAACUGGCUGCGUCUGCCAAACAUCCCCAAAUUAAGAUUAUUUAGGAAGCACAAGUUUUGAUUUGGGCUGGAUGUGGGAGACACUGAUGGAUGCAAUGGGAGGAAGAGGAGAAAACAGGAAGAAAGGCUGGGAUGACUGUCAGAUCAGACAUCUCUGCAUAAAAAGGACUCUGAGGGGGCCAUAUGACACAACGGAUGUGAAAGUAUCCAAUGCUUCCUGGCGCAUUAAACACUCAAUAAAAGUCAAC